rnacentral:rRNA from 1 species
UGGGGGAUAUUGCACAAUGGGCGAAAGCCUGAUGCAGCGACGCCGCGUGGGGGAUGAAGGCCUUCGGGUUGUAAACUUCUUUUGCUCUGAACAAGGCAUGCUAAUGGGUGUGUUGAGUGUAGGGGUUGAUUAGCGCCGGCUAACUACGUGCCAGCAGCCGCGGUAAUACGUAGGGCGCGAGCGUUGUCCGGAAUUAUUGGGCGUAAAGGGCUUGUAGGUGGCUGGUUGCGUCUGUCGUGAAAGCUCAUGGCUUAACUGUGGGUUUGCGGUGGGUACGGGCUGGCUUGAGUGCAGUAGGGGAGGCUGGAAUUCCUGGUGUAGCGGUGGAAUGCGCAGAUAUCAGGAGGAAUACCGGUGGCGAAGGCGGGUCUCUGGGCUAUUACUGACACUGAGGAGCGAAAGCAUGGGGAGCGAACAGG